rnacentral:rRNA from 1 species
GAUGAACGCUGGCGGCGUGCCUAACACAUGCAAGUCGAACGGAGAUUACGGACGGAAGUUUUCGGAUGGAAGACUGUAAUUCUUAGUGGCGGACGGGUGAGUAACGCGUGGGCAACCUGCCCUAUACAGGGGGAUAGCAGCUGGAAACGGCUGGUAAGACCGCAUAAGUCGGCGAGACCGCAUGGUUUUGCCGGGACAUGAGCAAUCAGGUAUAGGAUGGGCCCGCGUCCGAUUAGCCAGUUGGCAGGGUAAAAGGCUACCAAAGCAACGAUCGGUAGCCGGACUGAGAGGUCGGACGGCCACAUUGGGACUGAGACACGGCCCAAACUCCUACGGGAGGCAGCAGUGGGGGAUAUUGCACAAUGGAGGAAACUCUGAUGCAGCGACGCCGCGUGAGUGAAGAAGUAUUUCGGUAUGUAAAGCUCUAUAAGCAGGGAAGAUGAUGACGGUACCUGACUAAGAAGCCCCGGCUAACUACGUG